UAGCUAAGACUUCCAGUAUAAUGUCAGAAAGGAAUGUGUGAAGCAGUUGAGGUUUCUUCCAUGGGUCCAGGGAAUUGAUUAAGAUCAUUAUUCUAGAGUUCAAGCCUGAAGACUACAAAAGACCAGUAAAGCCACAGACACAACUAAUAUAGCCUCCCAAUUUAUUCAAGUUUAAGAGAAAAAAGAAAGUCACUGUAAAGAGAAAUUCAAUAGACCUUAAGGCCUUGCUCUCCCUAGUACUUCUUGGACUGUUUGUAGCUGGCAGCAGAAGG